CUGGCCGCCCGGGGGGCCGCCCUGGUGCAGGGCGAGGAGCUGGUGGAGCAGGUCCGUGAUGAGCACCAGCCGCUGGUCUAGCUGCGUCAUCUGCGGGGAGAGAGGAGGUCAGCUGUGCGUGCCGGCCGCGUGUGUGUGCACGGCUGGGCACG